rfam:Ictidomys tridecemlineatus contig028657, whole genome shotgun sequence.
GGGGAUGUAGCUCAGUUGGUAGAGUGCUUGUCUUGCAUGCACAAGGCACUGGGUUCAAUACCCAGCACCACCA